CAAGUCGAACGGCAGCACGGGUGCUUGCACCUGGUGGCGAGUGGCGAACGGGUGAGUAAUACAUCGGAACGUACCUUAUCGUGGGGGAUAACGCAGCGAAAGCUGUGCUAAUACCGCAUACGCCCUGAGGGGGAAAGCGGGGGAUCGCAAGACCUCGCGCGAUUAGAGCGGCCGAUGCCUGAUUAGCUUGUUGGUGGGGUAAAAGCCCACCAAGGCGACGAUCAGUAGCUGGUCUGAGAGGACGAUCAGCCACACUGGGACUGAGACACGGCCCAGACUCCUACGGGAGGCAGCAGUGGGGAAUUUUGGACAAUGGGGGCAACCCUGAUCCAGCAAUGCCGCGUGAGUGAAGAAGGCCUUCGGGUUGUAAAGCUCUUUUGUCAGGGAAGAAACACCGGCUCUAACACAGUCCGGGAAUGACGGUACCUGAAGAAUAAGCACCGGCUAACUACGUGCCAGCAGCCGCGGUAAUACGUAGGGUGCGAGCGUUAAUCGGAAUUACUGGGCGUAAAGCGUGCGCAGGCGGUUAUACAAGACAGGCGUGAAAUCCCCGGGCUUAACCUGGGAAUGGCGCCUGUGACUGUAUAGCUAGAGUGUGUCAGAGGGGGGUAGAAUUCCACGUGUAGCAGUGAAAUGCGUAGAUAUGUGGAGGAAUACCAAUGGCGAAGGCAGCCCCCUGGGAUAACACUGACGCUCAUGCACGAAAGCGUGGGGAGCAAACAGGAUUAGAUACCCUGGUAGUCCACGCCCUAAACGAUGCUGACUAGUUGUUCGGGAUUUACAUCCUGAGUAACGUAGCUAACGCGUGAAGUCAGCCGCCUGGGGAGUACGGUCGCAAGAUUAAAACUCAAAGGAAUUGACGGG
rnacentral:rRNA from 1 species